rnacentral:SRP_RNA from 1 species
GCCAGGUGCUGUACCUGUUGUCCCAGCUACUCAGGAGGCUCAGGUGUGAGGAUCGCUUGAGCCUAGCAGCUCUGGGCUGUGGUGCACUGUGCUGAUGAGAUGGCCACACUAAGUUUAGCAUGGAUAAUGGUGACCUCCUGGGAGCAGGGGACCAACAGCUUGCCUAAGGGGGGUUCAACUGGCCCACGUUGGAAAUAAAGUGGGUCAAAACUCCCAUGCUGAUUAGUAGUAGGAUUUGCCUGUGAACGGCCACUGCCCUCCAGCCAGGGCAGCAUAGCGAGAGUCCAUCUCU